AUUUCGCGGGUUUAAAAACG
rnacentral:misc_RNA from 1 species